rnacentral:rRNA from 1 species
UGCGUAGAGUUAUGCGAUCCCUUAGAUCAUUAAAAAAAUUUAUGAUUGAUGGGUAUUAAGGUUAAUAUUUCUUAAGAUAUGCUGACAGUGACGGUACAUUAUAGAAUGUUUAUAAUUAUUUUGAUAAAAGUUAUAAAUGUUUAAAAUGUAUCCUAGAAAUAACUUAGCAUAAGAAUCGUACUAAAACCGACACAGGUAGGCAAGUAAAAGAAUACUAAGGUGUUUGAGUGAAGGGUGUUGAAGGAACUCGGCAAAAUUGCUUCGUAACUUCGG